CCUACGGGGGGCAGCAGUGGGGAAUAUUGCACACUGGGGGAAACCCUGAUGCAGCGACGCCGCGUGGGUGAAGAAGUAUUUCGGUAUGUAAAGCCCUAUCAGCAGGGAAGAAACAUGACGGUACCUGACUAAGAAGCACCGGCUAAAUACGUGCCAGCAGCGACGGUAAUACGUAUGGUGCAAGCGUUAUCCGGAUUUACUGGGUGUAAAGGGAGCGCAGGCGGCACGCUAAGCCUGCUUGGAAAACCCGGGGCCGAACCGCGGGAGUGAAUUGGGAACUGGCGAGCUGGAGUACCGGAGGGGCAGGCGGAAUGCCUAGUGUAGCGGUGAAAUGCGUAGAUAUUAGGAGGAACACCAGUGGCGAAGGCGGCCUGCUGGACGGAGACUGACGCUGAGGCUCGAAAGCGUGGGGAGCAAACAGGAUUAGAUACCCGAGUAGUC
rnacentral:rRNA from 1 species